rnacentral:lncRNA from 1 species
CCUUGACGGGUUCGACCGUGCUGCGCGCGCCAUUAUAGUCAAACUGGUGGCGGUAUUCGUCGGCACCUUCCUCAUCCUCGUAACUUUCGUCCUCGUCAAUCUCGUCGUCAUCGUCGUCAUCGUCGUCGUCGUCGCUGUUGUCCUCUUCUUUGCGGUCGUCGUUGUUGUCUCUACGGUCGUGGUCGCCCUGACGGCCGGCGAUCUCGCGCGCCCGGUCGAGUGGCGGGCCACGAUUCUGGUGGCGGUCGGGGGUCGGCACGGGAUGCUGGCCGCCAUCGCGACGUCGAUCGGACUCGACGAGAGCGAUUCGCGUGGGGCGCGGGGCGUGGCCCUGCUGUGAGAUCUCCUGACGCGGUGGCUGUUGGGGCUGCGGUCGAGCGCGUGGGACGGUGGCGGGCUGACGCCGAGAGCCGUCGUGUCCUUGGCGC